GACGAACGCUGGCGGCGUGCUUAACACAUGCAAGUCGAACGGAAAGGCCCUGCUUUUGUGGGGUGCUCGAGUGGCGAACGGGUGAGUAACACGUGAGUAGCCUGCCCUUGACUUUGGGAUAACUUCAGGAAACUGGGGCUAAUACCGGAUAGGAGCUCCUGCUGCAUGGUGGGGGUUGGAAAGUUUCGGCGGUUGGGGAUGGACUCGCGGCUUAUCAGCUUGUUGGUGGGGUAGUGGCUUACCAAGGCUUUGACGGGUAGCCGGCCUGAGAGGGUGACCGGCCACAUUGGGACUGAGAUACGGCCCAGACUCCUACGGGAGGCAGCAGUGGGGAAUAUUGCACAAUGGGCGGAAGCCCGAUGCAGCAACGCCGCGUGCGGGAUGACGGCCUUCGGGUUGUAAACCGCUUUCGCCUGUGACGAAGCGUGAGUGACGGUAAUGGGUAAAGAAGCACCGGCUAACUACGUG
rnacentral:rRNA from 1 species